CCGGAGUUUCAGUAGUUAUCUUAGUAUCCUUGAUCACCCCCGGCAUAGUGCUUGACCUACGGAGAUUUCCGUUAUCUGCAAGGAAGGAUGACUUGAAUGUUGAAUUAAAAGGAAAUGAUAUCAUUUAUACUUUCCAAGUCACAUUAUCACAAGAUAAAUAGAAGAAAAUGGGCAUAAAUUGUACGAGAAGAAAACAACUGAACAAUUUUCUUAUCACAUCCUCUUACGGUGCUUCGGCGUGCUACACUUUUUUUUUACAGUCAUGGGAUAAAUUGAGCACAACCACAGAAAAAGUUCAGAAACAUUCAGUUUGGGUAAAAGUACCAACUAGCGUUAUCUAACAAUGCGAACAAGCAAUUUCCUUAGAAUAGCCAGCACUAGUACAUGCAGAAACUUGCAAUCUAAAAAAGUGUGUAGCAAAGAGAUGGGACAAGAAUAGACGGGGCCAAAGGAGAAACGACAAAUGGUUCAGGC
rnacentral:lncRNA from 1 species